AAAAAGCCACCUGUUGACUUUCCCGUCCCCGGGCCAGGGUUCUGCGUUUUAAGGCCUCUAACGGAGGCUGGGUACCUCACUGCCUCUCACAGACCAUCUGAACUUGCGCAAGGCCUUGUGAGCGCCUCCAUCUUUUGUUCCCUUAUCCUUUGCCAGAGUGAGCCCAUCUCCUCAAAAGCUCCAAGCUGUGAUCUCACGGUCACACUGCAGGCUGACGUUCCCUCCCACCUAGCCACGACUUCACUGGCUAUUAUCACAGCUCCUGGACCAACCACAGUCGCCGGCUUUUUCAGGUACACAGCAGCUGUAUCCCAGACCCUGCCAGCCCCCAGAUCCUGCUCUCCCUCCGUCUGAACCUUUCCCAGCCAGCUUAACUGUGACCCUUCGGAGAUAUUGCCAGAGAUUCUUAGAAUUUUCCUAAGGGCUUGCUCUGUUGUUCCUCUUAGGCAGGAAGAGAACCCAGGCCAGGAGGCUGGAUCCCGUCGCCUCCCGCGUGCUGCACAGACCCUCUAUGGUAUCCCACUGUGGACCCCUAUCUUGUCUUCAAGGUGCUGCACAGUCCCCCCAGAGGAUGGCCUGUGAUGACCCCUGGCAGCCCAGGGACCACUGCAAUUUCACAGGGCACAGCCUCAGUGCUGGUGCCUGAACAGGGCCAGUCGUCAUUUUCAGAUUCACAAAGACCCAGAGGCAGAGCGGCUGGCCAUUCCAGGCUUUUGUGAGACACAUCAAAGGGGUAUGUGACCAGUGUGUCACCCUGUGAUGAAACCACCCUAAGCCUCCCCACGAGGCGGGUGCCCCAGGCUCACUGUACCUCAGGGCCCCUCUGUGUGCACCCCGGCUGCUCUGCCUCCCAUGAGACAGUGGGCUUACCGAGGGUGGCCACGCUGCUUCGUGUGUCUGGGAGUCUGAGCAUGCAGCCCUGACCUCAUACCCAGCGUGUGCUCACAGCAUUUGAGGAAUGAAUGAAUGGGUGAAUGAAUGAGUGACAGACAGUGUGAAGGAAUAAGGGAAUGUGGGUGUGGGGGAGGGAAGGGAGAUGUUCUUUGAACAGUGACAAGAGCAUGGCCUGCAGGGUCAGAGGAGUUUAAUCCCAGCUCAGCCACUUUAGACAAGUUACUUAGCCCUCUGAGACCUGUUUUCCUCUUUGGAAAUUAAAAAUAGUAGCAUUUUUCGGAAAGCUUCAAGGAUCAUAAAGAAUUUAUCUAAAGGGGGUUAGUCCAGAGUUUUAUACAGAUGGUCAGCACGUGCCCAGACAAGUGACAGUGGUCAUCAUUAUUCACAAAAAUACAAGUGAAUGAUGUCAAGGCCACAGUGCUGCAGCAAAAAUAAGGUCUUGUGGGAAGAGUGCUGGAUCUAGGGGCCAUGGGGAUGAGCUCCAAUCAAAUCUCAACUCUGACCCUUCACUCAUACCCAACCUAGGAGGGAGACAAGGAUGGGCUCCAUGUGGGGGAACUGGAAACGUGGCGCCUGGAUGGAGAGGGGCCAGCGGACUGCAAUGGAGGAGACCUGGGCAGGGGACCCACCCACUCCACCUGCAUACACCGGGUGACCCCCGUAGAGGUACUGACAAUGACAACGUCAACGCCUCUUCAUGGAGCAGCUAUAGCCACGUGUCGCUUAACAAGGGAGACACAUUCUCAGAAAUGUGUCAGGUGCUUUCGUCACAGAGCAAAACCUAGCUAGCAGAGCCUAUCCACACCUCCCUCCACACUGACUCCGCCAGCAGCAACCACAGAGUCACUCUCUUAACAAUAAGGGGCACCCUUCUAGACAGAAGACUGUACAGAGUCAGGACUGGAUGGCCACUCUGGGCCAUGCCCUGUUCCCUGUCCCCAUCACACACAAGAGUUCCAAACCUAAUCCCAGGAAACUGAGAAUCCGCAGAGGGCAGGGACCAUGAUAUCCUCACAGUCUCUUCCCUGCCGUGUCAGGCACAGCGCCCCGCUGGUGAACCAGAGGUCAGCGUCCUAGAUCCUCUCUGACUCCCACAUCCAAUUAAGAGGCCCUAAGUCCCACAGCUCCACAGUCCUUCCCUGUCCUCCACUGCUGCUGUCCUGGCUGAGCCUGACCCCUCCGUCCAUUCUGCCCCACUGACCUCACUUGGGGAAGGGGAGGCUGUUAUACCAUGCAGUCUUGGGAGUGGGAAGUGUACUCAGCAAAAGCACAUUCUCAGCUCACUACUGCUGAUUUGCUUUCAUUUGGUAUCAUUGAGUUUGACAUUCCCGACAAUGUCAAAUGCAAGCAGUAGGUUCUAGGAGUUUCAGAAGGGAUGAAAGUUUAAAGAGAUGGGAAAUAUUAGCCUAUGGGGUAUUUUCCAAACUUCUCUACCUGAUACUCAAGGCUGUCCUCCCUGGUCCCAUUCCCUGGAACCUGCCCUUCAUUAAAGGACAAAGAAACAAGCUAA